rnacentral:rRNA from 1 species
UACGAAGGGGGCUAGCGUUGCUCGGAAUCACUGGGCGUAAAGCGCACGUAGGCGGAUCGUUAAGUCAGGGGUGAAAUCCUGGAGCUCAACUCCAGAACUGCCUUUAAUACUGGCGACCUUGAGUUCGGGAGAGGUGAGUGGAACUGCGAGUGUAGAGGUGAAAUUCGUAGAUAUUCGCAAGAACACCAGUGGCGAAGGCGGCUCACUGGCCCGAUACUGACGCUGAGGUGCGAAAGCGUGGGGAGCAAACAGG